GACACCUUCUCAGUAUUUUACAGAUACUUGGGGAUAUUUUUAGGCAAUUUUCCAUUUUAAAGGACGUUUUCUUUGGAAUGAUUUUUGGUUGCCUCCUCUGGGUUUUUUGUGGUUUCUUUUUCUUUUUCUCCUCCUUUUCUAUAUUAUUUGCCCAUCGCGGCUGUGGAUACCUGGUUUUAGUGUGUAUAUAGAUAGGUAGAUAGAUAUAUUAUUAUUGUUAUUAUUUUUUACCCAACGGGGUCAUGGAUACCUGCCUUUUAUUUUAUUUUUUUUUAAUUUGCCCAUCGGGGCCACGGAUACCUGCUUUUAAUUUUUUUUUUCCCCCUUAGCCCAUCGGGGCCUCGGAUACCUGCUGUGUACCCCCUCUCUCCCUAACCUGGCCCAUCGGGGCAAUGGAUACCUGCCUCUUUUUUAAAUGUGUUGUUUUUUUUUUUUUCCUUGCCCAUCGGGGCCUCGGAUACCUGCUUUAAUUUUUUUUUUCUUGCCCAUCGGGGCCUCGGAUACCUGCUUUAAUUUUUUUUCCUUGCCCAUCGGGGCCGCGGAUACCUGCUUAGAUUUUUGUUUUACACCACCCAUCGGGGCUUUAUAUGGUUGGAAAAGUGUUGGGUUUUGUGGUUCGUUGUACUAUCUGGAAUGUCUACAAAAUUUUGCUGCUAAUCGUUUGUGUUGUGUGAGUGGACCUACGGCUUUGGCUGGGAGAUGACUUUGCAGUUAGGCUAGAGGGUUGGUUAGGCUGGGGAGGAAAGAUGGCGGCCACUUCAGAUUUGCCGCCCAGCUUGGCUGAGGGGUAACUGUGCUAAGUAUCACUAGGAAGGUAAGAUGAAUAAUGCGACAGGCAAAGGAAAUGGUAUGCAUUGCAUGAGUUAAAUGUUUUGAAUAAGCUGACUUGGAUCAUGUUAGGAGCUUGGCAUGAAUUGUGGUAUCAUGAGGUGGGAAAACAUAGGAUCAUCCUAUGUCAUAUUACAAGGGUCUAAUGGAAAAUGAGCGGGAGAAGAAUUAGGCGCAGUGUUCAAAAUGGCGAUUUUGACCUUGCAGCAUUGCUUAGCAUGGCUCUCUGCUUUGUUAGAGUGUUCAAAAUGGCGGAUCCAUUUUGCCGCAGUGUUCCAAUGGCGGGAAGCCACAUCAUGGGUGUCUUUGUUCUAGUGUGCAGCAUGGCGGUAGAAAUAUUCUGUUACAUAGUAAAAGAUGGCCGCUUAAGUACUUGCCGCAGUCUAAAACAUGGCGGGCUUUUGUCUCUGCCGUGUGCAUUUCCUGAUAGGUUUUGCUGCAGGGACAAUAUGGCUGACCUUGUCAUGUGGAUAUCAUGGCAGUUUGUCACGUGGAUAUCGUGGCAGGGGUGUUUGACCGUUACAUUCUUGGCGGGCUUUGCAUCAGGAGGGCCUGCCGCAUUGUUAAAGAUGGCGUGCUUUGCCGCGGACAAAGUGAAAGGAGGGAUUGGCAAUGUUAGAUUGCCGCGUGUCCCACCCAAUCAGAAAGGGUGGUAGAAUCGGUCACAGCCAGUUAGUGGAGGAUGGAAUUAGAUGAGUUAGCAUAGCACCUCGCUACCGUCUCUAUUCAGCCAGUCAGGAUUGGCCACAUUUGUACUAAUCUCAGUGGGUGGUACCAAAGUCUUUCCGUGGCUAAUACUGGGGUCGGAUUUUGAUUUCUAUUUAUUUAUUGGAUGUCAGUCAUACAUAGUUUGAUUAUGUGGUUUGCUAGUGUUCGAUUUCAGCUUAAGUGACUAGUAUGGAAAUGUGUUUAGGGACUUAUUUGUAGAAUUCAUUUUAAUUACAUUUAAUGGGUUUUCAUAUUUGGGUUCCUUUAAAAUUCCUUAAAGUUUUCAGUUUUUUUUUUUUUUAAUAAACCUCUCAAGCUUUUUUUGUAUUUAGAUAUUAAAGUCAAAUAAUAAACCACUAAGAAUUUUUUUUUUUUUUUACUUUGAAAUUGACUUCAUAGACUACUUCCCUUUGGAUAUUUGAAGAGUCUUAUAGCAUAGAAGUAAUUAAUUAAAAAUUUAACUUUAUGACCGAAUGUGAAAAGGAAUAUUUGAAGGUCCUCUCAGGUUCAGGCCUUGCUUUGUCCCUACUCUUAAUGCUGCACUCAUUGACUAAUGAUCCAACAACCUGCAGGAAACCAGUUGCUGUGAAUUUGCUUCUUCUAUUAGAAUGUAUUAUAUUGGAGAAUUAUUGUUCAUAAUUUCAAUUUUCUGUGGUCCCCUGCCUCCACAGCCCCUAGCUCCUCUGCAACCCUGUUCCCAGCAAUCCCCUUUCUGGCCUCAGCCCCUGCCCCAGCCCCAGCCCCAGCCCCAGCCCCAGCCCCAGCCCCAGCCCCAGCCCAGCCCCAGCCCCAGCCCAGCCCCUGCCCCAAUCCCAGCCCCAGUCCCUGCCCCUGCCCCAGCCCCAGCCCCAGCCCCAGCCCCAGCCCCAGCCCCAGCCCAGCCCCAGCCCAGACUCAGUCCUGUUUCUGCUUAAAGCCAGUGCAAUUUUUGUUAAUUCAGUGAAAAAAAUAAGUUGUCCAUUGCUCAUCCAUUAGACUGGGAUACGCUGUCUACCUCUAGCAUUCCUGAUCUUGAGUGCUGGCUAUCCAAGUCACCAUUUUCAGUUAAUGUACAGAAUCCCAUUUGUCCCUUGGUCCAUGUUAGAAAAAAGAAUCCAUUCACCCUUUGCAUUAAUGUUAAGAAACGUUAAUUAACUGAGAGCUUCAUAUCAGACAAUUAUUGCCCAUAAGUCUAGUUACUCAUAAUCUUCUCAAUCCCCUGUCAAUAAGGGAGAAACCAUUCCUCUGUCAUUGCUGCAGUACUCACAAUCCUAGUUUUCUGGACAGUGCAUAUUUACUGAGCUGACCACCUAAACUCUUUGUAUUGAGUGAAGUUGUAAUUGUCCAUAACCCUGCCUAUUGGAUUAGAUUCCAGUCCAAAACCCUCUUGCAUUCAGCAAAGGGCACAGAAAACCCAAUUUUUUUGGUUAAUGUGCUCAGUCCCAGUUGUCAUAGCUUUGUCCAUUAAACAAAGGCAUCCUACAAAUUUUGCCCUGCUUCUGGGGAGUCCUGUUCUUGGACAAUUAAAGUACCAAAUUGUAAUUUUUGUUUUCCCCAUUAACCAAUGAUCCUCCAUCCUAUUUACAUUGCUCUUAGGCAUUGCUGACUACCUGAGACCAUGUUCCUUGAAUUAUUAAUGUGUAGAAUCCCAAUUGUUUAUUACACAAGUCCUUUCUUUGCACUGUAGCAGAAGUGCUCAUCUUAAAAGUCACUUACUCUGGAAUAUUAAUAGAUUCAGUUGUUGUUGAUCAUGGUCCAGCUUAACAGGUAAGAUCCGCCCAUACUCUUUUCGAUGCCCCUAGGUAGUGCGGACUACCUGCCACCUUGGAUUAAUAUGUAAAAUUCUCAUUUCCCAUGAUCCUACCGAUUAGUCUAGGAUAUCUCUUAUCUCGAUCCCAUUUCUUCUGAGGAGUUCUGAUUACCCAAAGUCCCUUCUCUUAUUAAAAAAUUGAUGUGCAUAAUUGCAUAUAUCCAUGGUCCCAUGCAAUAAAAAAUGAAACCCCACACUUGGUGGAAUAUUGCUGGGUCGUGCAGAUUAUUCAAGAACUCAGCUCUUGGACAGUUAGUUUGCAUAGUUGCAGUUGUCCAGAGUCCUGUCCGUUUUAAUGGGCCAUUGGUAUCCUAUUUGCAAGCUACGUGGGUUGAACUCUCAAGGGCCCUCCUCUUGAAUUUAUAACGUCCAUAAUUGCUUUUGUCCAUGUCCUGUAAACUAGUCACACUGGCUCACUUUGUCUUCCAUCAGGGCACCCUUACUACUUAAGAAGUCUGAACUAGAACAGUUUAUGUGCACAAACCUAAUUGAUUACACCUCAGCCUUUUGUAUCAGGAACUCUGCAUCAUCUUUACUUCUGAAAGGGUGCUAAUUACCUAAGGCCAUUUCCUAAAAUUGUUCACUUGCAAAACUGGAAUCCCUAGGGACUCUUUCAUUUUAACUAGAAGCCCAUCCCCAACUAACUGCCUUUGCAUUACAGCAGAGGAUACUUGGGGCAGUUAAUGGGCUUGAUUGUACGUAGAGACCCUAUGGCUGGUUUAAUAUCCAUUCCCCUACUGAAUGAUUUGCAUUACCACAGGCAGUACGAAGGAAUGAUAAUGGGCUUAUACAGCUACAGUCCCUAAUGUUAACCUAGAAACCCAUCCCCACCUAACUCUGUAUGACGGCAUAGGGUACUUGGGACUGUUAAUGAACUGUAUUGCAGCUACAAUUCCUUUUGUUAGUCUAGAAUCUGUUCCCUUCCUGCUUGAUUUGCAUUACCACAAAGGGUACAAGGGACUGUUAAUGUGCUUAAGUGGAGUUACAGUCCUUUAAGUUAACCUAGGAUCCCAUUAGUACCUAACUCCCUUUUUAUUAAUGCACAGCAUAUGUGAGACUUAUUCGUGGGAAUAAUUGCACUACUGUCCCUUUUGUUAGUCUAGAAUUCCAUCACUCUACUCAGUUUGCAUUACUACUAAUUUGCAUUAUAAAAGAGGGUAUAAGGGACUGUUAAUGUGCUUUACUGCAGCCACAGUCCCUUUUGUUAAUCUAGAAUCAUUUUCGUUCUUACUGGAUUUGUAUUACCACAUAAAGUAACUGGGACUGUUAAUGUGUUUAAAUCUAGCUACAGUCCUUUCUAUUAAUCUAGGAUCCCAUCCCCACCUAACUCCCUUUGUAUUACUGAAGAGCCUACAAGGACUUGUUAAUGGGCUUAAAUGCACUGCUGUCCUUUCUAUUGAGUCUAGAACCCCAUUUCUCCUAGUCAAUUUGCAUUACCCCAGAGUGUACAAGAGACUUGCUGUGCUUAAAUGCAUCCACAGUCUGUUAUGUUUACCUGGGACCGACUCUAUUCCCACCUAACUCUGUUUUAAUGAGAGGGUACUUGGGCUUAACUGGAGCUUCAGUCCCUCCUGUUAACCUAGCGUCAGUUUCUUUCUUACUGGAUUUGUAGUACCACAUAGAGUAACCAAGACUGUUAACGUGCUUAAAUGCAUUUACAGUCUUUUACAUUUACCUGUGUUCAUUGCAUGACUGCAAGGUUACUCGAAAUAGUUAAUGGACUCAAUUAGAGCUACAGUCUCUUCUGUUGAGAUUUCCAUGCCCUCCUACUCUAUUUGCAUUACUAAGGGGGAUGCAAGGGACUGUUAAUGUGCCUAAAUGCAGUGUCCUAGGAUCCCAUCCCCCACCUACCUCCCUUUUCAUGACUGCAGAUUACUUGGGACUGUUCCUGUGUUUAAAAGUAGCUGCUGCUGCUGCUAAGUCACUUCAGUCGUAUCCAACUCUGUGCGACCCUAUAGAUGGCAGCCCACCAGGCUCCCCCAUCCCUGGGAUUCUCCAGGCAAGAACACUGGAGUGGGUUGCCAUUUCCUUCUCCAAUGCAUGAAAGUGAAAAGUGAAAGUAAAGUCGCUCAGUCAUGUCUGACUCUUAGCGACCCCAUGGACUGCAGCCUACCAGGCUCCUCCAUCCAUGGGAUUUUCCAGAAGAGUACUGGAGUGGGGGUGCCAUUGCCUUCUUCGUAAAAGUAGCUAGUUCCUUCUAUUAGUCUAGGUUUCCAUCCACUCCUACAUGGUUCGCUUUAACACUGGAUACAUAGACUGUUAAUGUGCUUAAAAGCAGCUACAAUCUCUUAUAUUAACACAGGAUUCUAUCCCCAGCUAACUGUUUCACGACUGCGGAGGGUAUUUGGGACUGGUAAUGCACUUACCUGCCUAUACAGUCUCAUCUGUUGGCCUACUUUCCCAUGAUCUUCUACUAAUUUGCAUUAUGAAAGAGGGUAUAAGGGACUGUUAAUGUGCUUUACUGCAGCCACAGUCCCUUUUGUUAAUCUAGAAUCAUUUUCGUUCUUACUGGAUUUGUAUUACCACAUAAGGUAACUGGCACUGUUAAUGUGCUUAAAUCCAGCUACAGUCCUUUCUAUUAAUCUAGGAUCCCAUCCCCACCUAACUCCCUUUGUAUUACUGAAGAGCCUACAAGGACUUGUUAAUGGGCUUAAAUGCACUCUUGUCCUUUUGUUAAGUCUAGAAUCCCAUCUCUCCUACUCAAUUUCCCCAGAGUGUACAAGAGAUUGUUACUGUGCUUAAAUCCAUCCUGUCCGUUGUGUUUACCUAUGACCCCAUUCCCAAUAGUGACUCCUUUGCACUACCACAGAAAGUGGAAGAGACUGGUACUGUGCUUAAAAACAACUGCAGUCCCUUAUGUUUGCCUAGGACCCUAUCCCACCCAGCUCCCUUUUAAUGAGUGCAGAAUGUACUUGGGACUAUUGAUGGGCUUAACUGGAGCUACUGUCCCUUCUAUUAACCUAGAGUCAAUUUCUUUCUUACUGGAUUUGUAGUGCCACAUAGAGUAACUGGGAUUGCUAAUGUGCUUAAAUGCCUCUACAGUCCCUUAUGUUAACCUAGGAUCCCAUUCCCACCUGACUCCCUUUUUAUUACUGCAGAGCCUACAGGGACUUAUUAAUAGGUUUACUUACACUGCUGUCCAUUCUGUUAGUCUAGAAUCCCAUCUCUCCUACUCAGUUUGCAUUACCCCAGACUGUACAAGAGCCUGUUACUGUGCAUAAAUGCAUCCACAGUCUGUUAUUUGCCUAUGACCCCAUUCCCAACAGUCAGUGACUCCCUUGCACUACCACAGAAAGUAAAAGGUACUGGUACUGUGCUUAAAAGCAACUACAGUCCCUUAUGUUUACCUAGGACCCUAUCCCACACAACUCCCUUUUAAUGGCUGCAGAAGUUACUUGAGACUAGUAAUGGGCUUAACGGCAGCACAGUUCCUUCUGUUAAUCUAGAAACAGUUUCCUUCUUGCUGGAUUUGUAUUACUACAUAGAGGAACUGGGAUUGCUAAUGGCUUAAAUGGAGCUACAGUCCUUUAUGUUAACCUAAGAUUCUGUCUCCAUCUAACUAGUUUUCAUGACUUCAGAGGGUACUUGGGACUGUUAUUGCACUUAUCUGCUUAUACAGUCUCAUCUGUUGGUCUAGAUUCCCAUGCUGUGCUACUCAAUUUACAUCAUAAAAGAGGGUAUAAAGGACUGUUAUAGUGCUUAAAUGCAGCUACAGUCCCUUUUAGUAAGGUGGGAUCCCAUUCCCAUCUAAUUCCCUUUGCAGUAUCCCAGAGGCUCCCAGGGACUUUCAGUGUACUUAAGUGCAGAUCCAGUCCCUUAUAUUAACCUUGGAUCCCAUUCCUACUUAAUUCCCUUUUUACCACUGCAGAAGGUGUUUGGGACUGUUAAUGCAAUUCUUGCCUAUACAGUCUCCUGUUAGUUUAGAUUUCCAUGCCCUCCUAGUAAAUCUGCAUUUUAAAAGCAUACAAGGGACUGUUUAUGUGCUUAAAUGUAGCUAUAGUCCCUUAAGUUAACCUAGAUCUCAUUCCCACCUGACUCUCUUUUCAUUACUGCAGAGCCUAUACGGGACUUGUCAGUGUACUUAAUUGCACUGCCAUUCCUUCUAUUAUUCUAGGAGCCCAUCCCUCCUAGUGGAUUGACAUUAUCACAGAGUGUUUGAAGAGGUUGUUACUGUGCUUAAAUGCAUCCACAGUCUAUGUUUACCUAUACCCCCAUUCCCACCUGACUCCCUUGCACUACCACAGAAGGUAAAAGGACUGGUACUGGGUUUAAAAGCAGCUACAAUUUUUUGUUUACCCAGGACCCUAUUCCCACCUAACUCCCUUUUUUACUGCAGAGGGUACUUGGAACUGUUAAUGUGCUUAAAUCCAGCUGUAGUCUUUUCUAUUAAUCUAGGAUCCCAUUCCUAUCUAACUCCCUUUUCAUGACUGCAGAGGUUACUUGGGGCUGUUAAUGCAUUUACCUGCCUAUAUAGUCUCAUCUGUUGAUCUAGAUUCCCAUGCCCUGCUACUCAAUUUGCAUUGUGAAAGAGGGUACAAGGGACUGAUAUGGUGCUUAAAUGCAGCUACAGUCCCUUAUGUUAACCUAGGAUUCCAUUCCCACCUGACUUCUUUUUCAUUAAUGCAGAGCCUAUAUGCUGCUGCUGCUGCUGUCACUUCAGUUGUGUCUGACUCUGUGCAACCCCAUAGACGGCAGCCCACCAAGCUCCCCUGUCCCUGGGAUUUUCCAGGCAAGAACACUGGAGUGGGUUGCCAUUUCCUUCUCCAAUGCAUGAAAGUGAAAAGUGAAAUGAAGUCGCUCAGUCGUGUCCGACUCUUCUCGACCCCAUGGACUGCAGCCUACAAGGCUCCUCCGCCCAUGGGAUUUUCCAGGCAAGAGUACUGGAGUGGGGUGCCAUUGCCUUCUCCAGAGCCUAUAUUGGACUUGUCAAAAUGCUUAAUUGCACUGCUGUCGCUUCUUAGUCUAGAAGCCUAUCCCUCCUACUUGAUUUGUAUUAUCCUGGAGUGUAAAGACUGUUAACAUGCUUAAAUGUAUCUACAGUCUCUUAGGUUUACCUAUGAUCCCAUUCCCAUUUAAAUCUUGUUGCAUGACUUCGGAGGUUGCUUGGAAUAGUUAAUGGUCUCAAUUAGAGCUACUGUCCCUUCUGUUAGUUGAGAUUCCCAUGCCCUCCUACUCAAUUUGCACUACCAAGGGAGAUAUAAGGGGACUGUUAAUGUGCCUAAAAGCAAUGACCUAGGAUCCCAUCCCCCACCUAACUCCCUUUUCAUGACCGUAGAUUACUUGGGACUGAUACUGUGCUUAAAAGUCCCUAACAGUUCCUUCUGUUAGUCUAGAUUUCCAUCCACUCCUACAUGAUUUGCAUUAACACAGAGUGUUCAUAGACUGUUAAUGUGCUUAAAAGCAGCUACAGUCUUAUGUUAAUCUAGGAUUCUGUCCCCAGCUAACUACCUUUUCAUGACUGUGCAGAGGAUAUUUGGGACUGGUAAUGCACUUACCUGUCUAUACAGUCUCAUCUGUUGGUCUACUUUCCCAUGCUCUCUGACUAAUUUGCAUUAUAAAAGAAGGUAUAAGGGACUGUUAAUGUGCUUUUCUGCAGCCACAGUCCCUUAUGUUACCUAGGACCCUAUGCCCACCUAACUCCCUUUUAAUGACUGCAGAGGGUACUUGGAACUGUUAAUGAGCUUUACUGCAGCCACAGUCCCUUUUGUUAAUCUAGAAUUGUUUCAAUUACAUUAUAGGGGCUUCAUACUCCCUUUAAGAUUCUUAUAUUUAUACAAGGUAUAUGAUUUUAAUUGACCACACCAUGUCCCUUCAACAUUAAUUUACAUAAUUGCAACUUAGUUCGUCUUAUCCUGUUGCCCUCCCUUUCCUUAGCUUGUGGAUGUGCAUUCUUGUGCACUAGACAAGGACCCUCCCCCUCACUUCCUAUGCCUUCCGUAAGUUUGCCCAUUGCUAAGACCUUUCCAUUUGGACAGUUAAUGUGCAGAGUUGCACUUUCCCAUAACCCUAUUACUUCUAGGACUAUUGUAUCUCCUUUGUAAUAGUGCAGGGGAUACUGUUUCCCCGCCAAGAUCCCUUACUGUUAAUAUACGUAAUAGAAAUUCUUGUCUUUAUCAGUGUACUUUGGUAAUACUCCCUCAGCCAGCUAUCAUGACCUCAGCUCUUGGACAAUUAAUAUGCACCAAUAAUAUAUCAAACGUAUGAUCUUUAGGUAGGAUCCCUGUACCCUCACUAUGGAUCAUGACUGCUGACUUAAGGCUUCUUUUUUUGACUCUGGGUGUGAAUAUUUGCAGUUACCUAUACACCCUUCUAUUAGAGUAGGACAUCAUUCCCUCAUACCCCCUUUGCAUUACUGCAUGGGCUGCUGAUGACACAAAACUUUCACUGGGACUGCUGAUGAGCACAAUGGCAGUUGGCAAUGGGUUUUUCCUCCCUGGUCUUGUUAGGCAAGCACUCCCAGCUCCAAAUUCUCAUGGUAUAUUAAACUAUAAACACUGCACUGUGCUGUGAACUUGUCCAUCAAAGGGCGACCCACAUUCCCACUCCUUUUGCGUUGGCUCCAGUGUAUCAAAUUCCAAGUAAUCAUGGCCUUGCCCUUAUCUUCCCUCUACAAACCCCUUGCCUGCCCUUGGACCCUUCUUAUGGAUUUUUAAUGUUCACAAUUCCAGGUGUCCAUCUCUCCAGAUAGGAUUAUGCUCCCUCACCCCUCCCACCCCUGCCCUGCCCCUUUUGCAUUGUUGCCGGGAAAUGUUGACUGAGCAAAACUCUUUUCUCUUGAAUUUACAAUGUUAACAGUCCCAGAUGUCAUUGUUCUGCCCACUUUGAAUUUCUAUAAUUCCCUGUUGCACUUUCCUUGGUCCCACCCAUCACGGACUCUUCCACUUCCUUCUUUGCAUUACUUCUGAAUAGUGCUGACCACCCACAGCCCCUUCUUUGUUGUUAACACAGUACUGAUUGUCCCAUUUUUAAGCCCAUCAGCCCAAGAUCUCCCUACCAUUUUGAUGUUAUAUUUGUGCAGUAUGGACUACCAAAAGCAGGCCAGAACUAGGUGACUGGACCUUACUCCUUUUCCUGCAUUUGUUAAUGAUCCCAGUUCUGAUUAUUGUCAUAUUCUGGGAACAGAACCGUUCCUGAUCCCCUCUGUUAGUGCUUUACUAGGCAAAAUGCUCAAGGCAAGUCAGACCCAAAGGAACUGGAUUGCUACCCUUUAUUUGGGGUUUUCAUUAUAAAUAAUCAUUUGAAAAUUGACUUCCCAAGAAGGAAGGUUAGCACUAUCUGUGCAUUCUUCCUUUCAAAGCAGAUUGCCUGGCUAUGUCUCUCCUUUCCUCUUGUAUAUUGCCAUUGUAUAGUGCCAAUUGCCAGGAUACAACCAAAAAGUUUAUUUAUUUUUUAUUUUUUUUAUUUUUUAAGAAAGACAUCUGGAUUGCAGGGUGGAAUUGAUAACCUGGUCAUUGAAAUUUUGAAAUUGGUAAACCCAUUUAUAUCAUGUACCUGAUGACCAGUGUCUCUCAUUUUACUAAGGGUGGUGAGUCUGUGGAUAGACCACUGUGACUUUGAUAUUUUAGUAUAUUACCAAAGGGGUUCUAGAGUGGAACUCUUAAGACCAGUAUCUUUGGGCUCUACCACCAUUUUCAAACCACUCCUUGUUUGAGCUUUACCAGUAUUCACUUCUAGGAAAAACUAUCUAAACUUCCUAAUCGUUAAAUUUCUUCAUCUGGAGCUCCAACUAGUCCGUACUUAUUUCAAGAAGAUUGCUGUAAAAGGAUAAAAUGAGAGAACAUGCUGAGGUGCUUUUGAAAACCAUAGAUCACUUUGUUUGAUUAAUCUAUUACAUUUUACGUACCCUGUUUAAUUCUGCUAUUUUAAAGUUACCUAAAGCACCACACUCAAGUGAGGACUUAGAAACGAUGGAACCAGUUUCCCCAUUUUAUAUGAAAAGAAAAAUAAGCCAAGGUCUAAUCAGUCUUUUGGAUAUAAAUUUCAACAGUGAAAAUGAAUACAAAUGAAUAAUAUCUCAGUCUCUAGUGUACAAGGUGUUUGGCAGAGAAGUAUUUAAUAUGGAACUGCUGAAGCAAGUAACUAAUUAUCACCACAGCAGUUCUUUGUAAUCACUGAAAAAGGAUACUGUUGUCUGAGAAGGAUGUCAAAAGAUCGGCCCAGCUCAGGGUGCAGUUUGCACUACUAGCUCCUUGGACAGCUGUAAGAAGAGUCUCUGGCUCUUUAGAAUACUGGAUGAAUUCUGAGCUGGUUCCCCCCCACUCAAGAGGAAGGAUGGAUCAAGUUUAGGUGGAGUGAAGCCUGCACUGGACAGCAUCCAAAGGACAUUCCAAGCAUAUCAGACCUGAGGACUGCAAGCAACUUUAAGAAGCUUCAUAUUCAGCAGGUCUUUCCUUUUGAGAAUCUGGAUAAGCUCCAACCAAUCUCAUAGGAUGGCUUGCAGUUUCCCUGGAGAAAAAGGUGGAGAUGGGGCAUGAGGAUCCUCCAGGGGAAAGAUUCACUACCACUGAGCAACAACUCUAGGCCAGGAGGUUAUACCAAGAUUCUUUCCUGGGCCCAGUUAAGAAGGUGAAGCCUCAAGACAACCACCACACAUCCAGAGCUCCUGGUUGUUCCCUUCAUAUUUGCCAAAUCAUUAUCUUUCCCUGAAGUAGUGCAAAGAGCAAGAAAUGUGAACACACCAAGGAAGAUCAACAUGCCUGCAAUGCUAGCAUUUUAGAAUAGCAGAAUGAAUUUGUCUCUUCUGUUUCUUACCCUCUUCCAUGUCUGCCUUUGCUUAUCUUUUAAACUCAUAAGUGUGUAUUUGUUUGUUUGUCUGUUUCUUCUUUGAAUGUCUUUGGUCUUUCUUGUCUAAAGUAUGUCUUACCCAUUUCCAUGAUUCUCUUGCUAGUUUCUUCUCUGUAUAUCUUUGUCUCAUUUACUUUUUUGUACCCAGGAGUGGUUUGUGUCUUGUCUUAAAUGUCUCUCUCUAGUUUUCUUCAUUUUGUUACUGAUUCUCCUUGCUCUGCUAGAUCUAGCUCUUCUUUCACCGUUCUCUGUGAGCCUCUUGAGUUAUGUGUGCCUUUUGCUCAUUUCUUGCUAUGCCUGCCUCUCUUCUUUUUCUCUUUGUGAACUCUGUCACCCGUUCCCCUUGUUGGCUUGACAUUUCACCUUUUCUGAUACUGGCUACCCUUCUGCUGUUUCUACUCUUUAUCUUGCAUAUUUCUCUUUUCUACAUAUUCUUUGUGCCUUUCUUGGGCUAUUUUCUCUUUUUUUCCUCAUGCUUUGUGUGCCCCAGUGUCUCUUUGUUCUUUGUGAUUUUCAAUUUCAGCAUUCAUCUCUGUUCUCUUGGUUCUUCUCUCCUUUUGCCUUUCUAUUCACUUUUGAGUAUUUCUUGAGUCUAUGUCUCCCCCUCUUUGAUUUCAUGCAAUUCUCUCUCCUGGCAUAUUUUUUCAUGCGUGUUUGUGUGUGUGCUCUUUUGUGUGUUUGUAAAGGCGCCUCCUAACCCCUUCCAGUAGGUGCAGAGUGUCAGCUAUCAAAAUAAGCAUUGCAGAGCUGUUCGUUAUGCCAGGCCGCCCUGUGAGAUGAUCAAAACCAACAGAAGGUCCAAGGGUCUAGACUGGAGUUGGAUAGAAGACUCAAGUCUCCGUGAGACAGAAGGCCAAAGACCUAGGAUGGGAUUAAAAAACCUUGUCUUGAAGACCUGUGACCCAAAAGAUGGAAGUGCCCUAGCACACACAAAGACCCAGGACUCAAACCUAUCUAUAUAAGACAGAAGGCCCAAGAGAGACAGAUAUUUCAAGACUAAAUUAGAUGGGAAACUGGAGGUUCGUGACAGAGAUACCAGGAAAGAAAGAAGCCCCAGGACCAAAGGAAAUUCCAAGAUGAGACUCUUAAACCCCAGCUGUUUCUAUUGCUCUUUUCCCUACUCUUGGACAUUUUCAGUUCUCCCUUCCUUCUCAUGUCUCCAUUUAUAUCUACUUCUUUUGAGAUGUCCUUUUUGAUGUUACCUUAAAAAAAAAAAAAAACGUAUCUUUAGAUCAGUAAUAUUAUGCUUUGGCCUGUUUUUAUUACAGUUUUGAACCAUUUAUUAAGUUUUUGAAGUUUUAAACUUCCAUUUCUCUUCACCUCCUCUCCACUUGAGAGGGACACAUAGCUGACAUUAUAUUUCAGUCCCCUCUUUCCUCAGAAGCUCUAGGCUGAUGAGAGAAGGAAAGUAUCAGGUUCAGUUAUUGAGGGGAAAGAAAGUGCCAAGCUAUCUAGAGAAAAUGUGAAGAGAUGCUCCACAGGCCAAUGAGAAGAAUUAGACAAGAAAUACACAGAUGUGCCAGUUUGCUGAGAAGUGCCAGCCAGCAACAUCUUACUUAUUUGAGCUUGGGUGAGCAGGAUACCUGAGGUUUGGGAUUCUUACUGUUGGUUAUGAAGGAGGAUUGGGCCUAACACAUAGUGAGGCCCCAAGGAAGGAGCAUGAACUCCCUGCUCAUAGUAGUGGCCUAAUAAUGUGGUAAGCUGCAUAAAUUUUAUCCCUCGGUUUAAUACCUAGGCUUAAAGGUGAGAAAAUCUGGGAAUAUUUAGCAGGUUUAAUCCUUUCAUUAAUUUUUUUCCUCUUACCAUAAGGAAAGAUAAUUUUAGUGAUAAUAUAUAUGAAAGCACUGUAAAACACAGAAAAAAAAGCAAGACUUUCUCAUUAAUAAUGUAUUGGCACUCAUGCACAGCUAACAUUUGAAAAUGCGUUGUCAGUUGUGAAGCAUUAUGUAAAUCAAGGGUUAUCACACCCUUUUUGUAAAGGAUCAGAUGGCAAUUAUUUUAUACUUUGCAAGCCAUAUGGUCUCUCUCUGCUUUUUUUUAUUUUUAAAGUGAAUAUGGUCUGUGGGCCACAGUUUAUCACCCCUGGUGUAAUUGCCAGGGACUGUGUGCUGAAUAAUAUUAAUUUCUUUCUUUGUGCCUGUCCCUGUAUGCAUUAAGGAUGCAAUGAUUACUUAUGGUCAUAUCCAGGUGAUAUGAAGAAAAAUAUAUGAAUGUGACUUAUAAACUAUUAUGCACUUUAAAAGCUUGUCACAAUUUUCAGAGUUGAUGAAUGAACAUUGAUUACAUGGUAUAUACAUUUCUAGGCACUGUAUAUACAAAGAACAAAAGCGUGAAUAAAGGGCUUUCUCAAAAGUAUGUAAUACUGUACAGAUAUUAGGAAUUAAGUCUAUGAUAAAUGAGUAAUUCAUGUAUUUGUGGCCAUUGUGUUUCUGUGGCUCUGGUGAUUCUGAGUACAGAUGUAGUAUUCCAAGUCACAGAAAAGAAAACAUUGUUCAGUCGCUAAGUCGUGUCUGACGCUUUGUGACCCCAUGAACUGCAGCAUGCCAGGCUUCCAAACCCUUAAACUAUAAAGCAUACUGCAAACACAAGGGAUUUAAGCUAUUGUGAUUACUUAUAAUGUGCCAGAUAACAUCCUGGGCACUACAGAUGUCAAAGGAAAAGAAUAUUCUUAUUAUAGAAUAAUUAAAAAUUUUAGAUAGGCCGUACAUUUUAAAGUGCUUUGUACUAAAGCACUGUAUAAAUACCAAUGGGCUAUAUGUUUAUGAAUGAAUGAAUAAGUAUUAAUUUCCUUAUAUAUGCCAGCUAUUGUUUCAGGUACUGUGAAAUCUAAGACAAUGCUCCCAAGUGAUAAGAGGGAUGUUUAUGUCCUAUACUACUUAUAUAUAAAGAAUUAGAUAUUAUUUAUUUUAAUCAAUAAAGACUUUACUGGUGAUGUUGAACUAAAUUAUUACCAGUAUAUUUCCCAAGGUAAUAGGAAAAUGUAAUGAAUGAAAUUGAGCUUUCUAACUAUAAAAUGCUACAUAAAUAUAAAACAUUAGGUGUUUUCUCUGUGAACAAAACUUAGGUUGAGACAGACAUUUGUUUGUGUGUGUUAGUCGUUCAAUCAUGUCUGACUCUUGCGACCCCAUGGACUGUAACCCACCAGACUCCUCUCUCUGUGGAUUUCUCCACACAAGAAAACUGAAGUGGGUUGUCAUUCCCUUCUCCAGGGGAUAUUCUUGACCCAGAAACUGAACUCAGGUCUCCUGCACUGCAGGCAGAUUCUUUACCAUCUGAGCCACAGGUUCUCAUUGUGUGUUUGACCCACUAUGAGAAAGGCAGUAUAAAAUUCUCAGUAUACAAACUGAGAGUUUAAAUACUUGGUAAAUGAAUGGGUCAUUAAUAUUAGUUGCCUACUAUGUGAACUCACUGUUAUAGGCACUAAAGAGACACACAAAUUUAUCAUUUUAUUGUGCCUACAGUUGAGAAUAGGCAAUAACAUACGUUAGUAUUUUGUGAACUCUAAGAGUACCAUAUAAGUGUAACUAUUGAUUUCCUCAGUUGGUAUGCCUAAUACUAGGCUUGCAAAAUUGUAUCAUAGCUAUUAUACCAUGAAAAAAGUCAGAAAAAAUUUGAGCAAGGAUUGUUAAUUACUGAACACUUCAAAUAUGAUACAUAAAGGACUAAAUGUCUGAUGAAUGCAAGCCUGGAUGAUAAUUAUGUGCCAGUCUCCUUGAUAAGCAUAAGAGAUAAGAAGAUAAUCCAUCUUUACUGUGUUCUGGGCAGCAGAAGGUAAUAUAUAAAAUCAAUUUGUAGGUCUUAAACUGGCAUACAUAUAUAAGCCAUAUCUGCUGAAUGAACAUUGAUUACUUACUCUCUCUUAUUCCAAGAGAUAGCAACUAGGGAUGCAAAAAUUCAUUGCCAUUAUUGUUGAACCUGUAACAGAGAUCUGUAUAAAUUUUACAAAGCUUACUGUUCUAUACAGAUCUAAAGAAUUAACUGUUGGCUUAAUGAAUGGUUACUGAUUACUUUCUAUCUAUAAAGCUCAAAACUGUGUAUGCUCUAGGAUAUAAAAAUGACUCUCCUUAUCAGAUGCUGUAAAUAACAUGAGUGGGAAUCCAGAAUAAAAAUUACUUAACCAUUGCUCAGCUUAUUUGAUGAUAAAAACAUGGGCAGAAUGGAAUUGUGCAAGGCAGUAUGCUGAAUGCUGAGCUAGGUGGAAAGAUAAAAUCCAGACCAGAAGGCCACUUGCUCCCUGGCUUGACUAAAGGAAUGGAAUUUUUUUGUUUCUUUGUUUAAAGAGCAAGAUGUUGUCAUUCUCCAUUGGUCUUUUAAAUGCUGAAUGCUGAAGAUGGAGGUGAAUUCAAUCCACUCUGGCCUGGCAUAGAGAAAUUGAAAGAGUAAAAAAUGGUUCAAGUUGGCUUUUAGAUUAAUUUGAUGAACAGCAUCUUUUAUGUAAAAUAUAUCAUUCUAGGUCCUGAGCAUAAGAGAUAUGAAAUGGGCCUAGUCUAAAGGGCUUUAGAUAGAUCAAAGAUUAUAACUGAAGAUCCAAAAACAUCUUUGAGUUUUAAGUAAAUAUUUGAGUUCCCGUUCCCUAGAUCCUAUUCCUGUUCCUUGAAUUCUUGUUCCUAUUUUCUUGGUGAAGUCUGGUCCAGAAAACCUAUUGACUUGCCUUGGAAAUUUAAAAAAUAGAAAAACAAUAUGGUUCUUUCAAUGUAAAGUGAAGAUAUAUUUCUUGGCUCUAGAAAGUAUCAAUGUCAUGUGCUCAUUGACCUAGAUUGAAGCCAGAAGAUUAAUAAAAGGCCUCAGAGUUUGUCCUUUAAUUCAUUAAUAUUCUGUUUUUAUUAUAGUUAAAUGGGUAAGAUGACAAUCAAGAUUAUUAUGGCAUGGAAUCAGGAAGACAACAAAAAAGAUUCUUCCUAGAUUUUCCAUAUUUUGUAAAUUAUUCACUUGAAUGAAGUACUGUUCUUAAGUGCUGAGGAGAAUGAAGAGAUUUACAAGACCUAGACCAAAAUAUACUUUAAUUUCACUAGUACAUGGAGGACACACAAGAACAAAUUUAAUAGGAGAUUGCAAUUCUUUCAUUAGUUGGAAAAACUAAAGUAGCUGUGAUAUUAAGAUACUGAGAUGGAAUGAUUAAACAGAUCACUUUCUCUUUGGCAUGUUUUGUAGAGAAGGAAUAAAAAAGCUUUUCAGUUAUUCAUACAAGCAUUGAAGAAGGUGAUGCUAAAUGAAAUAGAUCUGGUAAAAAAGAAAUUGUCUUGGAGAUGCAGUUAAAAAAAAAAAAAAAACAAGAAAUGGAGUGAAACUUCAUUGAAUGAGUGUCUAUUUCAAGGCAUUGUGCUAAUUCCUAGACAGAAAACAAAAAAGAUCUUGACUGAAAGACACUUACUUGACUUGGAAACUGGUAUAUAAGAGAAGAGGUUAUUGUUAAUUUUUUAAAUUUAUUCAUUCAUUCUACAAGUAUGUUUGAGUGCCUAUUGUAUAUAAGCUCCUUAGCUGGGUUCUAGCUAGGUUCUCUAGCUAACCCCCAGAAAGAGACAUGAGAAAAUGAAUGCCUUCCCAGAGAACUUAAAAUUUGCCUUUUGGCCUAUUUUCUGAUCAGGGCUAAACGGCUUACUUCCUCAAUAAUAUUGUGUGGUUUAAUUCCUACUCCAUCUUAAACCACUCUGGCCACUACAAUAAGCAGGGGUUUUUACUGAACUGCUCCUUAAAUUGCAGGAUCCUUCCUUAUAAUAAAACACUUCAGUUUUCCUAACCCAUCCCUCAUGAAAAAUGGUUGUGAUCAUAGUGAGCCGAAAGAGGGAUGAGAAGCAACUGAUUCCCAAACUUCAGUCUCAUUGGUACCAACCUUGAAGAACCACUCAUACUCAAAUCACAAUUGGUUUUGAAACACACUUACAGUUUUGUCUAUGACAAAUAUACACUGCCUAAGUCUUUUUUAAAAACAAUCCUCUGAUAUUACUUAGCAAGUUUGGAGAUGGAGACAUGAUUUGUGUUUUGCAACAACAGCUUCUCAACUUACAAUUUAGAAAUCUUUUCCUUUUCACCAUCAAAACCUGCUUAAGAUAAGACUUGAAAAUAGCCUAACAAUUUUACUAUGCUUAAGCCUUAAGAAUAAUAGAACUUGAAAGUAUUUGGCAAAUGUUGGAGGGAAAAAAAAUCUACAUAUAGGCCCAAAUGGGCUUUGGCCUUUUCUCUUUUUAAAUCACUCACAGAGGGUGGGAUAGGAGGAAGAGUGAAAGAAAAGGUCAAGCCUGAUUCUAAAAAGAGUUGGUCUUAAAAGUAUUGCUACCUCCAGAUCUAACUUGGGGAUUGCUGUUCUUAGUGUAAUUCAAUUUUAAAAACUGGUCACUGUUAAGAUGAGGACAAAGUCCUUUGUCCAUCAGUUAAGCCUGGGGUUAUAUAAUUAUGGAAUUUAUUAAAUCUAUGUGACCUCUCCAUCAUAAGGUAGUCUUAAAGCUAAAGUCGGUCCACUACGUAGAAAGAGGACUUUAUCGUUCACUAUAAUUCAUACACACUUUCAAAGCAUCUACACCUUAAAGUUUACAUGGCAAGACAACAAUACCAUCUGUAAAAAUAGAAGGAAAUAGAAGAAUGGCAGGAGAUAGUUGCUGGAGGGAGCGAAUUUGAAUGGGAUUUGGGGUAAUGUUUGUAGUUUUUGCUUUGUAUAUUUUUAUUUAAGUGUAAGGUGUAUCUGAUAUUAAUAAUGUUUGGUGUUUAAUAUGUACUAUUAGCUGGACUCAGUAACUCCCCUUUCUCCAGGUAGGGAUGAGAGAUGCAUUAUUGGAAAGGAGAAAGUAACAGUCUUCAUUUCACAGUUUCUGGCAUCCCAAGGCCACACUACUGAUAAACAAGAAUAAUAGAACAUUCUGUCAUCUGAUUUUUGUGGCAUAAAUGAAGUUGUGAACAAUUUUUUUUUUCUUAAGAAAAAGAAACAGCUUUACAUCUACCCUUUUACCUUAAAAGGAUCUAUGCCAAAAUGCUCUGAUGAAUGGAAGACACACAUGGACUUGUGAACUGAUGUGAAACACAUAAUAUCUGAGCCUUGGUUGUUGUGAAGACUGAAAAGUCUUGUUCAGUUCGGAUAACCACCAAAAAAGCAACCUAAAGCUGUCUAUAUGUCACAACUGAGACAAAUUGGGGAGUUUGUUGUUUAAUGUCAAAUAAAAAUGUACUGUUUUU
rnacentral:misc_RNA from 1 species